UAUGCUCUCUCUCUCUAAUCACUACAGACAAAAUCUUCAGGUGGAGUUAAGAGAUCCUCAUCUGAAAAAACUCCUAAGAAGAAGGAUUCCCCUAGUUUAAUAAGAAGGAAGCCAAUGAUAACAGAGAGUGAUAGUGAUGAUGACUUUGUACCACUACCUACCAAGAAACCUCCUGUUACUGUGAAGCCCGAGCCACCUGCCACUCCUGUUAAGAAUGAUGUUCCUCCCAGACUACCUGUUGAUGUCAAAAUAGAGUUUGACGUGGCCACGCCUCCUAAACCUCCAGCAGUGGAUAGAGAAGUGAAAG